UGUUGAAGUGGGUUGGACUGUUGCCUCUAAUUGGUACUUAACUGUUGUUAUUUCUCCUUUUUUUUUGUUAAGUUUUCUGUCUUGUCCUUUAUUCUUGGACUAUUAUUUUCUUUUCUAUUUAAUAUUAUCAAUAUGCCUUCCACACGCAGCAGAUUCACCAUCUAAGUUUUUUUCUUUUAAUCUGAUGUGGGCCUAAGAAACCAGGUUCUUUUAAAGAGUUGGAGGAGGAAGAGGGAGAAAGAAGAUGUUUAUGUUGAUGAUGAUACUGAUGAUGAUGAUGAUGAUGAUGAUGCUGGUGUUGAAGAUAAUGAUGACAGUGAUGAUGAAGAAACUGAAGACAGCUCAACUUUAGAAUGAAUUGUGUUUCAUUCCGAUUCAAUAAUCUUGACAUUUUAAGCUUACCAAGUAGCUGAGGAAUCAUAAUGGAACUGAAAAUGGAAAGAAAUGAUUACAUUGUAGGCUCUUA